GCGGGUGUGGCGUAAAGGUAGCGCGCGGCCUUCCCAAGGCUGAAGUCGGAGUUCGAUUCUCCGCACCCGCACCA
rnacentral:tRNA from 1 species